GGAAAUAAUGACUAUGCAUGGGACA
rnacentral:miRNA from 1 species